rnacentral:rRNA from 1 species
AUACGUAGGUGGCAAGCGUUGUCCGGAAUUAUUGGGCGUAAAGCGCAUGUAGGCGGUUUGGUAAGUCGGUCGUGAAAAUGCGGUGCUUAACGCCGUAUGGCGAUUGAAACUGCUGAACUUGAGUGCAGGAGAGGAAAGGGGAACUCCCAGUGUAGCGGUGAAAUGCGUAGAUAUUGGGAAGAACACCGGUGGCGAAGGCGCCUUUCUGGACUGUGUCUGACGCUCAGAUGCGAAAGCCAGGGUAGCGAACGGGAUUAGAUACCCCGGUAGUCCUGGCCGUAAACGAUGGGUACUAGGUGUGGGAGGUAUCGACUCCUUCCGUGCCGGAGUUAACGCAAUAAGUACCCCGCCUGGGGA